rnacentral:lncRNA from 1 species
GCAGGGCUGUCCCUUACUGCUCUUUGUAAAGAUGGGCCCCCAUCAUGCCUGCUACCUUGUGAGGACAUGCCCCACAGAAGGUGUCAUUGUUUUCUUUUUUUCUUUUUUUGUGUGUGUCUUUUUGCCUUUUCUUGAGCCACUCCCGUGGCAUAUGGAGGUUCCCAGGCUAGGGGUCCAAUCGGAGCUGUAGCCACUGGCCUACGCCAGAGCCACAGCAACGCAGGAUCCGAGCCGUGUCUGCAACCUACACCACAGCUCACAGCAACGCCGGAUCGUUAACCCACUGAGCAAGCGCAGGGACCGAACCCACAACCUCAUGGUUCCUAGUCAGAUUCGUUUACCACUGCGCCACAACGGGAACUCCCUAGGAUGGUUCUGAAGGUGCUUUGUGCAUAGGCUUCCCUCCAGUGUCCUUAUGGCCUCACCUGGGGCUGAUGUUAGAGCCAAUGCUUAGUCCCCGGACCCGGAGGAAGAAGGAUGCUCCCUGAGGAAGCAUUUACCAGGUUCCAGGUCAAGUGAAAAUGGGAAGAUAAAUACAUUUUAAAAGCCUGACAUAUGUGGCAAAGGUCAUUAAACAGCAAAAGCCAUCUUUAAGUGCUUUGAGGAACAGAAGCCCUGCUUGUGAAUCUGGAAGGCUUGUAGGACUGCGUGAGCUGGGAUGAGGUCAUGGUUUUGAGGGUGAAAUGAAUCUUGCCAAAAUGGAGUCUGAGCAGAGAACCUUUGGGACUUUGUCUUACCACUGUCUGGGUCCUGGGCUGGGUGUUCGACACCCGAGUUUACUCCCCAGUGCCUUGAGGGGUGGGAGGUAAUAUUGGAAAGAGCCCAGGCUCUGAAGCCAGGCUGUGUUCAAAUCCUAGCUGGGCUUCCUAGUACUUGCAGAACCUGGAACAAAUUACCUCAACUCUGGACCUCAGUUUUGCCAUCUGUAAAAUGGAGAUAAGCAUAAACCACAGAACAUUAUGUGUGUUUAUAUGAUGUUUCAUACAUCCAGAGUACCUGGCCCACAGUAGGGGCUGUACAGGCAUUUGACUGGUGUCAUUUCCCUUGAGUUUUAGCCUCUCUUCCAGCAAAACAGUCAGAAUCACCCUGCCCUUGGUCAUUGAGGCCCCAGGAGAUGAGUCUGGAGAAACCAUGGCCCCAGAGUUAAUUCUUUUCUUUCCUCCCAGGUCAUCUUCCUAUCACGAAAGGAGUCAGAGCAAAUGAGCUUCCUGCACGUCUACCACCACAGCACCAUGCUCUUCAGAUAGUGGGCUUGGGUCAAAUAUGUGCCAGGGGUCAAGGUGAGUCAGGGGCUUGGGCAGCCUUGGCCCAGGACUGGUGGUGAGGCCUCUCUCUGCUGGGGUGAGUGCCAGCUUGGGAGGGCUGCAUCCCUGUAGUUUCAGGCUUUGGCUUUCAGGUUCCCCUUCCCUGUGGCUAUGACUCCUGGCCUCUGCUCCCAUUUUCCCUCUGUUGCUCCAUGGCACCCCCACCCCACCCCGCCCUGGUGUGGGGGAGCAGGCUGCUAGGGGAUGCUUAUGGCCCUCAGGCAAGAGAGAGGGGUGUAAGAAUCUUUCCUUGGCAUCCUCUUAACCCCAUGACCUUGGAUGACUCAUGCUGGACCUCCUCAUGAUAGGACCUCCCAGGGGGCUUUGUGGGCUGUGCAGAGAUGCACCUGCAGCUCGGAGGACUGAAACAUGAAAGAGACAGCCCAGAGCACACUCAGCUCUGCUCCACUUACUUCUCUUCUCUCCCCACCCCACUCUGCAGCCUUCUUUGUCAGGAUGCUGAAUUCUUUGGUCCAUGUCUUUAUGUACCUGUAUUAUGGACUGGCCAAUCUGGGGGCCCACCUGCAGCCCUACCUGUGCUAGAAGCGACUCUUACCAUCCUGCAGCUGGUGAGAAAGACCUUCUGGCACCAAGGGCCACAGCUGAGCCCAGGCUUCUAUUCUUGGCUGCACCAGUGACGAGUUAUCUGUCCUUCUCAUCACUGGAUCUUCCUUAGUCUCUCAACUUGCAAGGGUCUCAGUCACCAGCUCACCAGAUCCCAGAACUAACCCAGACUCCCUGAUGAGAUGUGGGCCCAGAGCAAGUGACUAACAUGCUUCAGGCCUUUUAUCUUCAGUGAAAUGAGGCGGCUGGGCUAGAUGACCUUGGAGGGCUAAUGGCCUGUGUGUCUGUGGUCACCAAUCUACCCCCAGGGGCCUGGGGACCCUGUGGUUUUGGGAGUACCAAUACCAGGUGGUGGUGACAACCUGAGCUGUCCUUCUUGGGGCUCAGGAUGAGUUGAGGUCAUCGUCAGUGUCAACCAACAUGACAUGGCUGGGUGGCGACAAACUGGGGACCAGACCAGGAAGAGGAUCAGGAAGUUUCUUAGGAUCAUGGGUAGGAAAGCCUGGGGAUGGUGCUUUACCAGGCUUCAAAAUUCCUGUUCUUCCUGAGCCAUGGGAGGUCCACCCCUGCUGAUAGAGGGAAUGACAAGAAAGUCAAGGGAGACUCCCUCCUGCCCUCAGCACUGCCCCUCACCUUCUCUUGUCUUCUCUUUCCUCUCAUAUUUCCUCUCCCUAGGGUCAAUGUGUGACCAUUGCUGCCUACUCCUCCUGCAGUCUCUUUGCCAAAGAGUAUCCAUUCCCUGGCAGGCUCAAUGUGACCAUUCUCCUGUACACCCUCAGUCUCAUCAGCCUUUCCCUUAACUUCUACCACCAGACAUACCUGAGAGGCAAGUGGGAGAAGCUGACCUACAAGGUGGGGCCAAGGACUGAAACUAGCAGAGCCCUCCCCAUGGAGAGUUUGGCGAAAGAUGAUACGGCCCACAGCCCACCCGUGCUGAGCAGAUUCCUCUGGGCAAGUAUUUCAUCCUAUGAGGAAAGGACAGUAACAAUUCUUGCCGCCUUCCCAGAGUUCAGGAGGACAGAACUGGACCCAGCUUCCUGAACGCACGUCUCAUGUGGAUUUGUCACUAUUUGCACACCUCCUUCCUCUACUAAACGUGAGUCCUUCUGAGGAGGGACUGCACUCUCAGUGGUCCCCACCCCUGGCACAGUAUCUCAAUAAAUGUGCAUUUAGAUCCCUAUAUUCCCCCAUGGGCAGUCAGGGCUGGGAGCAUGGAAGAAGGCAAGGCUGGUUUGAUCUUCCCCUUGCAGGCAGAGAGGAUGGCUGAGAAUAUCUAAUCUAAGGAGUGUGGGUCUGUGUGAUUUCUCUUGGGGCUAUGCCAACAGUUCCCCUGCACAUCUUUCUGUCUGUUCACUAUUACCUAAGGUACAUUUACACAGUUGUAUGAUUCUGUGUGUAUGGGGCAGCAGAAAGGGCUACUCAUACAUGUCCAAAUACUUUGCUUUUGAAUACACGUGUGUUUCCAUUUAUGAUUUUCUCUGUUGGUGUUUUUUGUUUGUCUCUUCUGUAAAUCUUGGAAAGUGCCAUGCUAGCCAAAUAAAAGCUUCUGGGAUCAUUAACACUUCUGUCCUGAUGGGAAACAUGGAUUCCGUGAGAAAUCUCUGCAUACAUGGUCCACCGAGAGCUUCCAAAGAGGGAUGUGAGAAAAGGAGGGAUGGGGUGUAAUGAAUGCCGCCAUCCGCUUGCCAGAGGGGGAACUAGGGCCAGCCAAAGGGAGCCAACCACAGAGUUGGCAGAAGCAAACAUCUGCUGGGCUGGUUAAGACCAGAACUGGAUGGGUGUCCGGAAUGCAGAUUUCCAGGGAGCUGCCUCUAUGCCUUUGAGCUGCUGCUCCUUCUCCUUUAUAAUCUCUCCCGUUAGCUCUUUCCCUCCAGUAGAGAAGUUCAUAUUUGGUGAUGCCUCCACUGCCAAGAACCUUAAAGACCUGACAAAGGUUUCAUAAGGUUAUUUGGGGACUGUUUAUCCAUCAGGUGCUCUGGUUAAUGAACUCAAGGCCAGGCGGGGCUGCAUCCUGUGGACAGAAUACUCAGAGAAAAUUUCCUCCCAGCUACGCAGGAUGCAAACACAUCCCACACACUCUUCCACAGCAGGUUGAGUGCCUUUGCAGGUGGGGGCCUAUUUUAAGGCAAUCUUUAAACACACACACACACACACUCAGAAGUGAGGUCUGUUCACUUGCUUAGCAUCCAGAAUAAGAGACGGCUUAGUCAUCCCAGGGUUCAGAGCUGACACGUGUCCAGUCCUUUGUGGCUGCCUCUCCCUGAUUUAAGUAGCACAAGAGGAAGCAAAAUGUCCUGGGUCAAGUCUCAAUGAAACAAGAUUUGGGUGGCAGGGAGAGCCUGGGGGAAGGCAAUGUGGUGGGGAGGGUUUGGGGGGAAAUUCUCAGUGCACUGAAGCUGUCCAUCAUUUUUUUUUUUUUUUAAGUUGCACUUUGUUAUAACAAUGUGACCUGGUUCAGGGGUGCUGUGCAGGGGGCUCUUUCGUGUGGAAAGAGUGUGUGAAAUUAUAAAACAUAAAGUUAUUUGAAUUUGUCAACACACAGCCACAUUCUUAAUUAAGAUGGUAGAAGUUUGGGAGUUCCCGUUGUGGCGCAGUGGAAAUGAGUCUGGCUAGGAACCAUGAGGUUGCGAGUUCGAUCUCUGGCCUCGAUCAUGUCUGUAACAGCCCUGGAUUGGGUAUCUUGCAUGGCAAUGAUGGUCAACCUACCUUAGGAUCUAGAAACUGUGAAGAAAAUGCUUUCUGUAGCUGAAAAGAGACUGGCCCUGAAUCACCCUAGUGAUGGAGCUGGGCUGGGUCUUGGCUUCCUGACUCCCCGACUGGGGCUCUGCCUCCCCCAGGACUGGGUCAAGGUGAAAGGCAUUUAUUCCCAUAAACAGGGCCAUUUAAGUAUGCAGGUCCUGGAGCUACUCCUAGUGGGAAAGUUGGUAUCGGGUAUCUAUAUCUCCCCCUCCACCCUCAGCCCGCAUCUUCUUCCUCACCCCUCUGCCAGACACACUGCCUCCCUAGUGAUUGAAUUCACCUUUUAGCUCACCGGGUGCCAAACCUCACAUGGGAUCAAGAUGAAAAGAGAGGAAGAAGGAAGAGACGCAGAGGGAAAACAACGUUAAAAGUAGCUUACUUUUUCAAGGAAGAAGGAAAAGGAGUUCCCGCUAUAGCUUAGCAGGUUAAGAACCCGACUGGUAUCCAUGAGAAUGCAGGAUCCAUCCCUGGCCUCCCUCAGCGGGUGAAGGAUCCAGGGUUGCUCUGAGCUGUGGUAUAGGUUGCAGAUGCGGCUCGGAUGCAGCGUUGCUGUGGCUGUGGCAUAGGCCGGCACCUGCAGCUCUGAUUUGACCCCUAGCCUGGGAACUUCCAUAUGCUCCAGCCCUAAAAACACAAAAACAAAAAAAACCCCAAAAAAACACUGGGCCCAAACACCAGAUUGAUUAAUAACUGAAAGCUUCCCUAAUCUUUGUCCCUGCUUCCAAUGUAGGACCAAUCACAGAAAGCUAAGUGUGCAUUCUAACCACAUAGGAUUUCCGCUUGCAUUAGCGUGUUCUCCAGGCCAAGAGCCCCCGACCAGGGCACACCUGAAGCUUUCUCUUUUACCACUCUCAUGCUUUCCCACCUCUGUCUGCCUUCGAAUCUCUGCCAAGACACAAACGAUGGUGGCUAAUAGCCUGCUAUAGCCAGCUCUGAAUACAUAGCCUUUGCUUGUUCCCAUUUGGUUGGGCUUUGUUUAUUUCCACGUGGAGAAGUGUGCUGGGCUUGCACAGGCAGCAGCCUUAAGGUCAGAGGGUGGUAUGGCCCGCCUACACCAGGGAGGGCCUGAGACAGCGCCCCUAGCUCCCCGUGGCUUUACACUAGCCCAGGAGUUAGGGUUGCUAGAUAAGACGCAGGAUUCCCACUAUGCUUGAAUUUCCCCUCCAAAAAAGCCAAGAAAAAUUUUAGCAUAAAUAUGUCCCAAGCAGUAUUUGGGGCAUACCUAUGCUAAAAAAGUAUUCCUUGUUUAUCUGAAAUUCAAAUAUAACUGGUGUCCUAUAUUUUUAUUUGCUAAAUCUGGUCAUCGUACAGGAGGGUAACUAAAACUUCCCAUGCCCCACUCCCAGAAGGGGAAACAAAAAGUUAAGAAAGAGAAGAGCACCUUGGUGGGGCUACAGAGAGUUUUAGAGCUAACAGGAGGGGGACACAUCAGAGAUGACACGGGAAACCUCCCAAGAUUUUGAAUGGGGCUUCGGCAGCAUCUCAAGGGAUUUCUGGGGUGGAGCAGCGAGGCCAAGAACGAGAGCAGAAAUGAUUAUUCUGGUGCUGGAAUAUGAGAUGAAGACAUAUCUAGGUCUAGGGAGUUCCCAUUGUGGCACAGUGGAAACGAAUCUGACUCGUAUCUGUGCGGACGUGGGUUCGAUCCCCGGCCUCGCUCAGUGGGGUAAAUAUCCAGUGUUGCCGUGUGAGCUGUGAUGUAGGUUGCAGACGAGGCUUGGAUCCUGCGUGGCUGUGGCUGUGGCUGUGGCAUGGGCUGCGAUUUGACCCCUAGCCUGGGAACUUCUAUGUGUCACGUGUGUGUCUGUAAGCACUGCUCCCCCCAUGCCCUCCCCACCCCCCUACUGUGAGCUUAACAUCCAGCUGCAGAAAGAAAGAAACAGGAUGGGAGAAAUAGCCUGACUUUGAUGGAGGUAUCAACCUGAAACAUCAUUUUAGGACUUCUUGGGGAGUGUGUCGACAUUGCCAGAUUUAACGGGUUUUCCUGGAAGUGACGAGAUGAAUUUUCUGCUGUUAGAAUGAAGCCUCAAUAUUAAAAAUAUUCUGAAUCUGGUUAUAGAAAACUGUAAGGAAUUAACAUUUUGCACAUGUGAAUUCAUUGUCUGUGAGGCUUUGAAAAAUUCAUACUUAGUGUAUAUACGGGCUUCAUGUCUAUUGAAGCACCAAUUGGAGAUACAGGGCACUUUUGGAAAAUGAAACCUCCCCGUCUCCAUCCUCCAACCCUCGCUCGCCAAUCUGGCAAUUUCCCCAGGGAGUCGUUUUCUCCGGAGAGAAAUGUUGCAUCUCACUUUAUUUGGUCUGUAUUUGGAAAACAGUUUUAUUUUCAUCUUCCAUACACCAGAUAACAUUAUUGCAUUGCAUAUAUUUUUCCACCUUCAUGCUCAUCUCCUAUCCCUUAAUGUUGACACCCUUCCCUAGACUCCUCCUGGGUAGAAUCACUGACUUAAAAGCUCCUUUGAGUUCUCGUCAUGGUUCAGGAUUAACAAAUCCGACUAGUAUCCAUGAGGAUGUGGGUUCAAUUCCUGGCCUCGCUCAGUGGGUUAAGGAUCUGGUGUUGCUGUGGCUGUGGCAUAGGCCGGUAGCUGCAGCUCCGAUUCAAUGACUCCGAAGGCUCAGAACCUGCAUAUGCCGCAAGAAGUGUGGCCCUAAGAAGCCAAAAAAAAAAAAAA